rnacentral:rRNA from 1 species
UGGGGAAUAUUGGACAAUGGGCGAAAGCCUGAUCCAGCCAUGCCGCGUGAGUGACGAAGGCCUUAGGGUUGUAAAACUCUUUCGUCGGGGACGAUAAUGACGGUACCCGAAGAAGAAGCUCCGGCUAACUUCGUGCCAGCAGCCGCGGUAAUACGAAGGGAGCUAGCGUUGUUCGGAAUCACUGGGCGUAAAGCGCACGUAGGCGGAUAGUUAAGUCAGGGGUGAAAUCCUGGGGCUCAACCCCAGAACUGCCUUUGAUACUGGCUGUCUCGAGGUCGAGAGAGGUUGGUGGAAUUCCUAGUGUAGAGGUGAAAUUCGUAGAUAUUAGGAAGAACACCAGUGGCGAAGGCGGCCAACUGGCUCGAUACUGACGCUGAUGUGCGAAAGCGUGGGGAGCAAACAGGAUUAGAUACCCUCGUAGUCCCUGAGCGGGCUGGCAAGGCGCAU